AUCCAGCUGACGAGUCCCAGAUAUGACAAAACGCACGUCCUGGAU
rnacentral:hammerhead_ribozyme from 1 species